UCUACAAGGCCUAUUUCUAGGGCUAACCAUAUCUGCUGUCCUAAAAGCCUGGCUCAUUCCUUUCACUGUCUCCCUGGGAACUCGGUGCUUGUUCCAGUGAAGCAACCCUCAGUCUACAGAGAUACUGGAGGAUGUCUCAACCCUGAGCUGUUGUCAAAACACAGUUUAACCCCCGUUCUCUGGGCCUGAGACCCUGCAGCCCCCACGCCGCCCGACUUCGCUGCCUGGCGUCGGGUCUUACCUGGAGCAACCUGACCAACGAGAAUGCACAAGGCCAGGAGCCAAGAACAGAGACUCCAGAUGCAGAACAGAAGGAAAAGCAAAAGGCGAUCAGUACAGACACCUGGGAUUUUGAAUGUGCGGCAAUCUCCAAGAGCUGCAGGGGCUUCAGAUCCAUACUGCAGGCUUCACCUUUUCCCGCCACCUUGAAAACUGCUCUUGGUCCUAUGGGACUUCCAGACUGCAGGAGGAGAUCUUCAAGGCCGUCUUUGUCUUUGACCUCACACGACUCACCCACGCCAAGUUUACCUUGCCUGUUUUUAAAUCCUAAAUGUUUCUCGAGUCUUUCUCCUCUCUGUUCUUAGUAUCUUAGGUCUGGCUUCCAUCUUUUCUCCCAGGAUCAAUACAACAGGCUCCCACAUGGGCUCCCCACCUCCAGAACUGCCUUUGGACCUCACAUCUGUACUCCACCCAGCUGUUAGAGGGAUCCCUCUAGGAUUAGUCUCCUGGGGCUGCUGUAACAAAAUGUGAGAAACUGGGUGGUUCAAAACCACACAAGUGUGUUGCCUCACUGUUCUGGAGGUCAGAAGUCUGAAAUCCGGUGUUGGCCAGACCAUACUCCAUCUCACAGUGCUGGGAGAGGAUCCCAUCUUGCCUCUUCCAACUUCUGUGAAUGGCUGGCAAUCCCUGCAUUCCCUGGCUUGUAGAGGUAUCAUGUCCAGUCACACGGCCCUGUAUGUCUUCACAUCGUCCUCUCUCUGUACACCCCUCUCUCUGGGUCCAAUUUCUCCUUUAUAUAAGGACACCAGUCCUAUUGGAUUAGGGCCCCCCAAUGACUCCAUUAUAAAUUGAUUAUCUCUGCAAAGACCCUAUUCCCAAAUAAAGUCACAC